rnacentral:rRNA from 1 species
GACGAACGCUGGCGGCGUGCCUAAUACAUGCAAGUCGAGCGCAGGAAAUCGACGGAACCCUUCGGGGGGAAGUCGUCGGAAUGAGCGGCGGACGGGUGAGUAACACGUAAAGAACCUGCCCUCAGGUCUGGGAUAACCACGAGAAAUCGGGGCUAAUACCGGAUGGGUCAUCGGACCGCAUGGUCCGAGGAUGAAAGGCGCUUCGGCGUCGCCUGGGGAUGACUUUGCGGUGCAUUAGCUAGUUGGUGGGGUAAUGGCCCACAAAGGCGACGAUGGAUAGCCGACCUGAGAGGGUGAUCGGCCACACUGGGACUGAGACACGGCCCAGACUCCUACGGGAGGCAGCAGUAGGGAAUCUUCCACAAUGGACGAAAGUCUGAUGGAGCAACGCCGCGUGAACGAUGAAGGCCUUCGGGUCGUAAAGUUCUGUUGUAAGGGAAGAACAAGUGCCGCAGGCAAUGGCGGCACCUUGACGGUACCUUGCGAGAAAGCCACGGCUAACUACGUGCCAGCCGCCGCCGUAA